AGGAUCUUUCACAAUGGGGGAAACCCUGAUGGAGCGACGCCGCGUGGGGGAUGAAUGGCUUCGGCCCGUAAACCCCGGUCAUUUGCGAACAAAUUUCAUGACCCAAUACGUCAUGAAUUGAUUGUAGCGAACGAGGAAGGGACCGCUAAGUCUGUGCCAGCAGCCGCGGUAAUACAGAGGUCCCAAGCGUUGUUCGGAUUCACUGGGCGUAAAGGGUGCGUAGGUGGCCGGGUAAGUCUGGUGUGAAAUCUCCGAGCUCAACUCGGAAACUGCAUUGGAAACUAUUCGGCUAGAGGAUUGGAGGGGAGACUGGAAUUCUCGGUGUAGCAGUGAAAUGCGUAGAUAUCGAGAGGAACACUAGUGGCGAAGGCGAGUCUCUGGACAAUUCCUGACACUGAGGCACGAAAGCUGGGGGAGCAAA
rnacentral:rRNA from 1 species